rnacentral:lncRNA from 1 species
CUUACGGGCAGGCAGGAAGCAGAAUACAGGUAGUGCGGCAACUAAAAGAAGGGAAAGGAGUGCCGGGUCUGAGAAGCUGAAAUAAGCGUACUGAAAGCAAGGAGCAACGCCCAGGCAGAAUGCCUGAGCAUUCAGGAACAGAGCAGUUCCAGUGGGUCGGGCAGCUCAGGCACAGGGAACUUAGCAGCAGCCAAUUGUGUCAAGGAAACUUUCACUGUUAUCUCCACUGAAGAAAACCAAGCAACAAGAUCAAAAGAAAACAAUAUGAUCCAAUUGGCUCUUAUAAAAAUAAUCCACAGAAGCUAGCUCUGCCAGGUCAGGGGAAUAAGCCAAAAGAACUCUGUAUGUCUCUGCUCAACAUGUGGACAGCCAACCACAGAAGCCAGGCAUGAGGACAAGCCCAGAGCUUCAUCUCCUUUCCAUGAGCUGAGUCAAAAACAAGGCUCUUGUCUUCUUGCACCAACCCAGCACACCAUGUCUUUCUCCGCAGUUUCUAUGCUGGAUGGGCCACGUAACCUCCUGGUCCCUUCACAUAAAGAGCAAAGGCGAAGAGGCAGACUGGCGUGGGGAGCCUGCUCCAGGAACAUCCAGUUUUCGCAGAAUCAAUAAGAGAAGACAUGAAAGUGAGACAGCAAUCAAGGGACUGACCUAAGUAAUCCACAAACUGAAACAGAAGAAAGACUACCUCUCCAAAUUCUCAGUUUCUCCAAUCUUUUGACUGAAAUACAAUUUCCAAAAGGGUUUACUACAGAAUGAUAUUUCAUUAUGCCAAAGAACUCACCUCCUGUCCUGCCAGUUUUCUUGUUUCUUACUGGCCAGUGCUCAUUUCAAGAUCUACCAUGCUACUGCUUUUUUAAAAAGUAAAGUUUUACCAAAG